AUUUCCUGUUAUUCUCGUAGCUGCCUCGGCGCUCUACAGCGGGUUCGCUCUGGACAGGCAUUUGAGGCGUGCCUGCUUCCUCUGGCAGGUGAGUGGGUUGGCGUUGUUCUUAGCGGCCGCCGAACCGCCUCACUUCCCGGGGUCUCCUAGUGCUUGAUGUUACCCCUGGAGUCACCGAAGCGAAGGAAUUGCACUGGAUUAGGCCAGGGUGGGCGAAUCUUCGCGGCUGCGGAGCCCCUCUGAGCACUUGGCCCGUCUCCUUGUGUUGGGAAUCUGGACCGCCUACGACAUCUCCAGUCCUCGGACACCAGCCCUUCCCGGGGAGCUUUCAGAGUCUGCACAGAAGCGAGGAGGUAUCAUCCUUGGCCAGAGCCCCGAGUGUGAGGCCGGAAUUGGAAUGGAAAGGUCUUCGCUUCUAAACCCCUGUUGUUUGAUGUGAAGCAACUGCCUUACUCUUGCUAAGCCUCAGUUUUUCCACCUGUUAAUGUGAGGAAGUUGGACUGUAUCAGCAAAUCUCGUUUUUCUCAGGUGAGCCCACCUCUCAGAUGGCAGGGCACUUUGACCAUCUCACUAAGGCCACGUAGAAUGGGUGAAGUACUUCUCCAAAGGAAAAAAUGGGUUGCUACUGCCCAAAGGAAGGGGUAGACGGGAUGCGCAGGCAAAAAUAACUAACAUCUCCUGUAGAUUUGGUGACAUCUGCUCACUGCUGCCCCCACAUCUGGAUCUCCUGCCCAGAUGUCUCCUGCCAGAUGCCUAGAGAGACAUGUCUCCUCAGCACCCCUCUGUGUCCUGUAUCCUGCUGGUCAUCGACGUGGGUGUCCCACAAACACUUGUAAAAUGUCAUGUGUUCAGCAUAGGGCCAGUUCUCUUUCCCACUGAGCCUAGUCUUCUAGCCUUUCCCGAUCCUUUCCGUUUCACUGAAUCAAAUUGAAUUUGAUUUACCGCCUCCCACCUGUCUGGCUCCUAGGUUAUUUAAUACCCACCCGCCCACCUCACCCCCAUACUCUGGAUCUAUUUUUAAUGUGUUAAUAUGUUACUUUUAUAACAAAAACUACUUUUAACAGAAGAAAAGUAUACCUCUCUAGGAAAUUUGGAAAAUAUAAAGAAAAGUGUAUGUCCUCAGCCCCAGCCCUCAGGGAGGCCCACUUUGUUGCAGUGCUGCAGAAUACCAGCCUGGCUCUGCUACAAGCCCUGCCUCACCACACCCUCCCCCUCUGUGGCCUUGGACACACUGCCCAAGCCCCUGUGCCUCCAUUUAUUCCUCUGAAAAGUGGGGACAGUGAUGGUACACAGGUCAGAGGACUUGGAGAGAAUUGAAGGAGUAAUAUGAUAGGACCCUAGGCUCGUGGUGAGCAUCCAGUAAAUAUUAGUUGCUAUCAUCAUCAUUAUUAUUUUAAAUGUAUGUAUUUCAAUUGCUGAUAAACUAUAAUUUUACAUUUUUUCAUUAUAUUUACUAUGUUGCAAAAUAUCCCUCAAAAACAUGAUUUUAAUGACCAUGUAAUAGUCCAUCAUUUAAACAUGUUCAUACUUUCUUCCACAGUUAACCAUCCCUCUAUUUUUGGACAAUUGGGGGCUGUGUGUGUGUGUGUAUAUGUUGGCUAUAGUAAAGAACUAUAAUAAAGAGCUGAAAAACA